AACGAACGCUGGCGGCAUGCCUAACACAUGCAAGUCGAACGAGACCUUCGGGUCUAGUGGCGCACGGGGGCGUAACGCGUGGGAACCUGCCCUUAGGGUCGGAAUAACUCCCCGAAAGGGGUGCUAAUACCGGAUAAUGUCUUCGGACCAAAGAUUUAUCGCCUUUGGAUGGGCCCGCGUUGGAUUAGCUAGUUGGUAGGGUAAAAGCCUACCAAGGCGACGAUCCAUAGCUGGUCUGAGAGGAUGAUCAGCCACACUGGGACUGAGACACGGCCCAGACUCCUACGGGAGGCAGCAGUGGGGAAUAUUGGAAAAUGGGCGAAAGCCUGAUCCAGCAAUGACGCGUGAGUGAUGAAGGCCUUAGGGUUGUAAAGCUCUUUUAACCGGGAUGAUAAUGACAGUACCGGGAGAAUAAGCUCCGGCUAACUCCGUG
rnacentral:rRNA from 1 species